ACAUAAUAGCUAUUGUUCACUGUUUGUCAAUUAUCAGUCUAACAGACAAUUCACUGACCUACUUUCAGCAAUGCAAAUUUUAAGCUAAUGCAUAAAAAAAUAGGCACGACAGUGAUGAUUUAA